rnacentral:rRNA from 1 species
CCUACGGGAGGCAGCAGUGAGGAAUAUUGGUCAAUGGACGUAAGCCUGAACCAGCCAAGUCGCGUGAAGGAUGACGGCUCUAUGGAUCGUGAACUUCUUUUAUAAGGGAAUAAAACGUGGGACGUGUCCCUUUUUGUAUGUACUUUAUGAAUAAGGAUCGGCUAACUCCGUGCCAGCAGCCGCGGUAAUACGGAGGAUCCGAGCGUUAUCCGGAUUUAUUGGGUUUAAAGGGUGCGUAGACGGGUUUUUAAGUCAGCUGUGAAAGUUUGUGGCUCAACCGUAAAAUUGCAGUUGAUACUGGCGGUCUUGAGUACAGUUGAGGUAGGCGGAAUGCGUGGUGUAGCGGUGAAAUGCUUAGAUAUCACGAAGAACCCCGAUUGCGAAGGCAGCUUACUAAGCUGUGACUGACAUUGAUGCUCGAAAGUGUGGGUAUCAAACAGGAUUAGAUACCCGGGUAGUC